UGGAGGCAGCAGUGAGGAAUAUUCGGCAAUGGGGGCAACCCUGACCGAGCAACGCCGCGUGCAGGAGGACGCUCUUCGGAGUGUAAACUGCUUUUCUCUGUGACGAGAGCAGGACGGUAGCAGAGGAAGAAGUCUCGGCUAACUACGUGCCAGCAGCCGCGGUAAUACGUAGGAGGCGAGCGUUGUCCGGAGUUACUGGGCGUAAAGGGCCUGUAGGCGGUCGGUGGCGUCUGCGGUGACAGCUCCCGGCUCAACUGGGAGAGCGCUGAACAGAUACGCACCGACUUGAGGACUGGAGAGGGAAGGGGAAUUCCGCGUGGAGCGGUGAAAUGCGUAGAGAUGCGGAAGAACACCGAAGGCGAAGGCACCUUCCUGGGCAGUUCCUGACGCUGAGGGGCGAAAGCCAGGGGAGCGAACGGGAUUAGAUACCCCGGU
rnacentral:rRNA from 1 species